GCUGGGCGUGGUGGCAUGUACCUGUAGUCUCAGCUACUCAGAGGCUGAGGCUGGAGGACUGCUUGAGUCCAGGAGUUCUGGGCUGUAGUGCACUAUGCCGAUCAGACGUCCACAUCAAGUUUGGCAUCAAUAUGGUGACCUCCCAAGAGCAGGGGACCACCAGGUUGCCUAAGGAGGGGUGAACUGGCCCAGGUCGGAAACGGAGCAGGUCAAAACUCCCAUGCUGAUCAGUAGUGGGAUUGUGCCUGUAAACAGCCACUGCCCUCUAGCCUGGGCAACAUAUCAUGAUCACGUCUCA
rnacentral:SRP_RNA from 1 species